UACGUAGGGGGCAAGCGUUGUCCGGAUUCAUUGGGCGUAAAGAGCGUGUAUGCGGCCUGGCAGGUCAGCUGUGAAAACUCGAGGCUCAACCUCGAGACGUCGGUUGAAACCACCUGGCUAGAGUCCGGAAGAGGAGUGUGGAAUUCCUGGUGUAGCGGUGAAAUGCGCAGAUAUCAGGAAGAACACCCGUGGCUAAGGCGGCUCUCUAGUACGGUACUGACGCUGAGACGCGAAAGCGUGGGGAGCGAACAGG
rnacentral:rRNA from 1 species